GACAGAGGUGGCAAGCGUUGUUCGGAUUUACUGGGCGUGAAGGGGGUCUAGGUGGUUCGUUAAGUCUUCCGUGAAAGCCCGGAGCCCAACUCCGGAACUGCGGGGGAAACUGGCGGACUUGAGUGCGUAAAACGUAAGCGGAAUACUGGGUGUAGCGGUGAAAUGCGUAGAUAUCCAGUAGAACACCUGCGGCGAAAGCGGCUUACGGGUGCGUUACUGACACUGAAGCCCGAAAGCGUGGGGAUCAAACAGGAUUAGAUACCCUGGUAGUCCACGCUGUAAACGAUGUGCACUAGACGUAGGUGGUAUUGACCCCAUCUGUGUCGUAGUUAACGCGUUAAGUGCACCGCCUGGGGAGUACGCCGGCAACGGUGAA
rnacentral:rRNA from 1 species